rnacentral:rRNA from 1 species
GAUGAACGCUGGCGGCGUGCCUAAUACAUGCAAGUCGAGCGAACAGAUGAGGAGCUUGCUCCUCUGACGUUAGCGGCGGACGGGUGAAUAACACGUGGAUAACCUACCUAUAAGACUGGGAUAACUUCGGGAAACCGGAGCUAAUACCGGAUAAUAUAUUGAACCGCAUGGUUCAAUAGUGAAAGACGGUUUUGCUGUCACUUAUAGAUGGAUCCGCGCCGCAUUAGCUAGUUGGUAAGGUAACGGCUUACCAAGGCAACGAUGCGUAGCCGACCUGAGAGGGUGAUCGGCCACACUGGAACUGAGACACGGUCCAGACUCCUACGGGAGGCAGCAGUAGGGAAUCUUCCGCAAUGGGCGAAAGCCUGACGGAGCAACGCCGCGUGAGUGAUGAAGGUCUUCGGAUCGUAAAACUCUGUUAUUAGGGAAGAACAAAUGUGUAAGUAACUAUGCACGUCUUGACGGUACCUAAUCAGAAAGCCACGGCUAACUACGUG